CUCUACGGGAGGCAGCAGUGGGGAAUAUUGGACAAUGGGCGCAAGCCUGAUCCAGCCAUACCGCGUGGGUGAAGAAGGCCUUCGGGUUGUAAAGCCCUUUUGUUGGGAAAGAAAUCCAGCUGGCUAAUACCCGGUUGGGAUGACGGUACCCAAAGAAUAAGCACCGGCUAACUUCGUGCCAGCAGCCGCGGUAAUACGAAGGGUGCAAGCGUUACUCGGAAUUACUGGGCGUAAAGCGUGCGUAGGUGGUCGUUUAAGUCCGUUGUGAAAGCCCUGGGCUCAACCUGGGAACUGCAGUGGAUACUGGGCGACUAGAGUGUGGUAGAGGGUAGCGGAAUUCCUGGUGUAGCAGUGAAAUGCGUAGAGAUCAGGAGGAACAUCCAUGGCGAAGGCAGCUACCUGGACCAACACUGACACUGAGGCACGAAAGCGUGGGGAGCAAACAGGAUUAGAUACCCUGGUAGUCCACGCCCUAAACGAUGCGAACUGGAUGUUGGGUGCAAUUUGGCACGCAGUAUCGAAGCUAACGCGUUAAGUUCGCCGCCUGGGGAGUACGGUCGCAAGACUGAAACUCAAAGGAAUUGACGG
rnacentral:rRNA from 1 species